CCAGAAGGACAUUGUCAACAUUGAGUUUACUUUGGUUUGUCAACAUUGAGAAGUCGUCGAGGGUUUGGAAAAAGGCUAGAAGGACAUUCUUCUUGUCUCGGUACCUGAGGUGCCUAGUCAAACUGUUGUCGGGAGACGAUCUGCCUCUGCCGAGUAGUGUUCUCUUAUGUUGUCUUAUAUGUCCACUACCCAGACAAACGUAGUCACCCGUAGGACGAAGGUCUUUUGUAUGUCCCUUAACCUUCCGGAGGAAGAAUUAGUAUCAGACAAGUAAGACAACAAUAGAACGCAUAAGAAGGUAACCUUUUUUGGAUCAGUCAAUAGAGUGUUUUCAGGAUGUACUUUGUUUAAACCUACGACGUUCUGUACAACGUUGAACCGUUCCAUGAUCGAUAGAGCGCGGAGACCAACCUCGGAAGCAACGGCUAAGUAUAGACCCCUUCAUGGCCUGUCGAAACUAGCGGACGUUCUAAAAGUAAUAACCUUACUACUACAACGAAGAUAGUCGUCGUGAAGUUAAUUAGAGUCGGCCAGGAGUGCGAACCUGACAAACCCAUGUAGAUCAGAGAAGAGUCAUGUGGUAUAAGAACUAACCAAACAUGUACCACCCAAAUCCCAUACCACGUGUCGCGGGAACGCAGUGCAGAAAACCUCGGCUAGUUAAGCUACUGUGGCUAAUACACCUCUUUUGGUCUUUCUCGAGGAAGAAGUUAACCGUGAUAAAGCGUUAGUUACGACCAAGUAACUAACGACCCUGACAAUAACAGACCCAAGUUCUUGUACUUCCGACCGAGACCCCAAAAUGUUAAAGAUGUAACAAACACUGAAAUCCACAUACAUAAAAAAAGAACCCGAGGUAGCACAUAUCUAAAGUCUUCGGAUCUCCUUCGGGAGACUGUUCUGAUACGGUCCAACAGUAACGUCGAUGAGCCUUGAAACUAUUCCAAAACGGUACACUAAGGAGUCGAGAAAUACUCAAAUACCCCGUUCCGAGCCGUUAGCUUCCGUCUGCCUUUAACCUCGUAUGUUGACCUGAGCUCAAGAAACUAUUUCGACGUUAACACUGUAAUGGACUGACACUUAGAGGACCGGUUGUAUUAUUUACCUUCUAAACGUGACAGUGAGUCCAACUCCUCAAUUUCUAAGACUAGUCCUACAAAGGUUAAACCAGCCGUUACUAAAACAAACGACGUCAAGUCCUUGUUUACAGGAGUUGUAAACAUCUCGUUCCCUACCGUUACCUAUUUGUGUAGCCCAGAAAGCUUUAUGGAAGACGUAGGAAGGUCACACAUCUAUGUUAAUGACAGUAACAUGACCAAGGUUAAAUACUCUCUGAGUAACAAGGUCAUUAAUCUUUUAAAUGACCGUCUCGCUUACCGUAAUGUAGUGGUGUCGCUUAUCCCUAACCAAAUACAAAGAGCUACAAGAGUUACCACAGUCGUCGUAACCACCUCCCAUUGGCCGAUGUCUAACGUGUCCGGCUUCCAAACCACGUGGCGUUCCACCGACAAGGCUACUCGUAGUACACCGUUCCUGGGGUCAUGAAGGACGAUCCGCAGCGGCUCCACAAGAGGUUAUAACCCGAUUGACUCCGAAAGAUACUACUUAGAGGUCUACCGUACGCUUCGAAUACAUACCGUAAGAGCGAACAAUUGUACAGCCGACCUUUAAUGGAAUCAAGUAAAUAGGAAAGGGAACACGGUCAUAAGUGUCGGUCUCCUCCGUCGGGUCCCACCUAUGGACUAUUGAACUUACUUCCCGUAAACCUAUCUAAGAUGGACUACUACCGACCCGACUCAAAAAAAUUAUAUCAUCAGAAACAUAAGACACGAUACUCCAUGUUUACAUUCUUCCGAAGGACUCGGAGUAACUGGAGACGUUAUACCGCUUCACACACAUCUUUAACAUGACACCAUAUAUAGUAGUACACGUUUCCAUUUGAUACGGCGUCCAUUAACGUUACGGCGUAUAGAGCAGAGCACAUUUUCGUGGGAACCGACUCGGGUUGUACUAUGGUAAACAGUAGAUGCCCACAACACGUUAGUUUGUGUCAGAAGAAGGAGUGCUAGAAGGGAGGGAGGUUCACCAACUAACUGUUUCGAUUAUUCGAAUACGUACUUCGACGGAGCCGAUGUAGGGGACUUCACCUUCGUUCUAGACAACCUGUCACGAAAAGACUUCUUCCUCGUACAACAUCAUCAAUAAAGUCACUACACAGUUAAACCUCGUUAUCUUUAUACAUAUACCUCUUAGAGUUAUGGUCUGUGACUUAUAGUUACCUCAACUACUCAACUAAUGUAGUGAACUAUAAGGUUCCCCACUAUGUCACCUGUACUUGAGUAUUUCCUUGCAAUCUUCCAUGGUGGCGCCCCGGUCCAUUUUGAUUUGACGCUGCCCCGCUGGCUGGUCCGCUGCCCUCUACGUCCUCGGCCUCACCACCGAUCCCUACUAGCCCCCAGGAAUAAACGCUCUACGAGAUUUAUGGGACGAUUCCUCCUGGGUAAGUAUCGGCCUUAAGAUCGAACAGCACUACGAUACUUUGAACGAUACCAUCUAGCAAUAGUGUACACUAGCACCUUAACCUGACAGUCAGGUAAACGUGGUAUACCUGUGAUCCUCUGCUGUACAGACAGCUUCCGGUUCAAACAUCUCUCUACGUGAGAAUAGAGAGCAGGAGACUCCCUAAACUAGAUCAGAAACACGCAGCCCUCCGGUUAAAACACCGAGUGGUUACA
rnacentral:rRNA from 1 species